rnacentral:lncRNA from 1 species
AUGUAUCUCCGUGUCAGAGGAGGUGUGGGCAGCCAGAAAUCUCAGUCUAGAGGAAGCAGAAGAAGGACAGAGACCAGUGCCCAUGGCUUGAUGACAGUUCCAGGGAUUAGAAUAUGUUCAUUCUUUCUGUCUCUUUGUCUCUGUGUCACUAGCUUUGCAUCUCUCUUUAUUGCUCUCUCUCUCUCUCUCUCAUGUGUGUGCCUGCAGGCUCUUUUUUCUUUUGAAGCAGAAAAGCUGUUGGGUGGCUCACAGAAUCACCAGGAAGAGGAACACGCAGACCUUCCAAAGGCACAGGAACAAAAGGAAGAACCCCAGGCAAAAUCACUCCCCAGAACUACUGCUGAGGCCCUGCUGGCUCCUGGGUGUUGCCCAAAGAUACCUACCGGGAUCACUUGAUGGUCCAUGGCACUAUGGACUCUGGAGGGAGACCUUUGUAAUAAAUCCCAGCUCUGCAGCUGACUAGCUGUGCGA